CAAUAGCGUAUAUUUAAGUUGUUGCAGUUCAAAAGCUCGUAGUUGGAUUUCGGGUUGGCUUCAGCGGUCUCGCUUUGCGUUUGUACUGCCGCAGCCUUCCUUCUUGCUGGGGACGGUCCUCCGGGCUUCAUUGCUUGGGGUCUGGAAUCAGCGACGUUACUUUGAGUAAAUUAGAGUGUUCAAAGCAAGCCUACGCUCUGAAUAUAAUAGCAUGGGAUAACACGACAGGACUCUGGCCUAUCGUGUUGGUCUGUAGGACCAGAGUAAUGAUUAAGAGGGACAGUCGGGGGCAUUCGUAUUCCGUUGUCAGAGGUGAAAUUCUUGGAUUUACGGAAGACGAACAUCUGCGAAAGCAUUUGCCAAGGAUGUUUUCAUUGA
rnacentral:rRNA from 1 species